rnacentral:misc_RNA from 1 species
CUCAUCUUUAAGCAUGCUUCCAAUUAGAUCAGAUUAGAAGACCCAGUUUCCUAGAUAACAAACUUCAUUAACAAUAUAAAACUUUAUUUCUUAUUUACCAACUAAUUUGCCCAGGCUGAAAGCUUUACACAAAUAGUAAAAUGCACACACCUUACAUACAUAAAACUAUUAGGGGUCCAUGUCCUGUUAACUAGACACACAGAACAUGCUCACCCCAGCCAAGUAUACUAAAGCUUAGGGCAUAUCAAAAUAAAUAAUUAGUCUCCAGUGUUUCCAAUUUUGGGGGGAGGCAGUUUAGCCAUAGCAUCUAAUUGGAUCAUUGCAGCUUUUCGCAGCAGAUUGCUUAAAUCCAAAACGACCCCCUUUGGCAAGGUAUUGUUGGUGGUAUUCUUCAGCUCGAUAAAACUUCUUGGCAGGUAAAAUCUCAGUGACUAUCUUUCGGUUCAAGAGCUUCUGCUGUUGUUCCAAAGUCUCUCGAGCUGCCUUUUCCUGCUCUUGGGUGUAAUAGUAUAUUCCGGAUCUAUAUUGUGUUCCCACAUCAUUUCCCUGGCGAUUCAUGGUAGUAGGAUCAUGCCUAGCCCAGAAAACAUUGAGAAGAGUCUCAUAGCUACACUCUUUAGGAUCAUACUGCACUCUGACCACCUCAUUAUGGUUGGUAGUCCCGGUACAUACAUCCUCAUAAGUGGGAUUAUGCAAGAGGCCCUGACUGUAACCCACCUCGGUCUUGGUGACGCCUGGAACUCUCUGGAAGGCCAAUUCAACCCCCCAGAAACAGCCAGCUCCAAACUGCACGAACUGCUGACCAGCGGCUGGCAGGUCGUCGUCCGGGCUCUGAGGGAUUGUUGGGUCGAUGGUAGAUGGGUCAGAGGACCUAGCGCCAAAACCGAGUUUGUUGAGGAUAUUCAUUGGGGCCCGGUAAUAGGAGAUAGGCCUGGAGUUCUGAGGGGAAGUAAUAGGUUUAGAAGAAGAAAAUUGAAGCUUUUUGGAGAGACAUAUGAAGGGUUUGGAAAGAGAGGAGGAGACGAGGAGGAGGAGCCGCGAGCUGGCGGUGGUGGAGGAGGUUGCUAGAUUGUGGAUCAUUUUCAUUCUUUUGUGCCUGUUUUGCCUGUUUUUGUGACGUGUUCAGGUAUUUUACUCUAGAAUUUGCGUUUCAU